rnacentral:rRNA from 1 species
GUGAACGCUGGCGGUAGGCCUAACACAUGCCCGUCGAACGGCAGCACCGUAAGAGCUUGCUCUUACGGGUGGCGAGUGGCGGACGGGUGAGGAAUACAUCGGAAUCUACUUUUUCGUGGGGGAUAACGUAGGGAAACUUACGCUAAUACCGCAUACGACCUACGGGUGAAAGCAGGGGAUCUUCGGACCUUGCGCGAUUGAAUGAGCCGAUGUCGGAUUAGCUAGUUGGCGGGGUAAAGGCCCACCAAGGCGACGAUCCGUAGCUGAUCUGAGAGGAUGAUCAGCCACACUGGAACUGAGACACGGUCCAGACUCCUACGGGAGGCAGCAGUGGGGAAUAUUGGACAAUGGGCGCAAGCCUGAUCCAGCCAUACCGCGUGGGUGAAGAAGGCCUUCGGGUUGUAAAGCCCUUUUGUUGGGAAAGAAAGGCAGCAGGUUAAUACCCCGCUGUUCUGACGGUACCCAAAGAAUAGGCACCGGCUAACUUCGUG